GCGAAACAAAGCGAUAUGCGGCUACAGAAACAAAUCCAAAACCAGGACAGCACCCAGAAAAGAAACAGAAGCGGACCCCGACCCCGAACCAGAGGCCGAACCGAAACUCAUUCAUUCCCCAGUUUUGGUGUUCAAACAGAAUCGUUCGAGACCACAGAAGAUUCCCCCGAAAUGGGCCGAGGAGUACCAACGGCUCUGGGGAUUGGGGAUUGUAGGCUUUCAAUGGGCAAAACUCACGCACAGCCACGCCCCCUCCGUCCCAAAAAAUGUUAUUUUAACUACAUUUUGGCUCUUUAUGGCGCUGCUCACCCUCCCGGUCCCGAUCCAUUGUCUUUGUCUUGGCAGGGCUUUGUUCCUUAUGCCGGAAUAUCGUACACUUAUUAAUACAUAAUCAUUUUUGUUGGGCCCCGGCAACAUGAGAUGGAAGAUUGGAACGGAGGGCCUCAAAGGUCCCCACGGACAGAAGAGUUCGGUGUUUGGUGUUGUAGAUGACCAUGCCUGUGUGUGUUCUUGCCCAUUCAAAAAAAAAAUAAAGCAGUAAAGUCGUAACAGAUAUGAGAGCAGAGCUCCUAUCGUGCCAUGGACAAGCCUGUGGUCUAUUGUCGUUCGGAUCGGGUUCUAGGAAAUCCAACCUAGUUAGUGAAUUCGAGCUGACUGCCCCGAAAAUGUGUUUUUUGUUUUUACCUCCCAGUGUUGCUCUUCUCCGGUUUUGUUUUUGUUCCGAACUGGUUGCUUAGUUGUGCAGAAAGGCCGAUUACUCGAAUGAGUAUAAUUUGUUCAUGCUGUAGUUGUUUCUGGCUUACUACAGAAAAAAUUUGUUUGCCGCUUCUGCGAAAUAUAAACUACAGAGCACUCAUUGUACAUGUGCACAAGCCUGAUAAAUAUUUUCGUAUGAAAUGCAUUAAUCUGAGCAUUAGUUACGCCAGAAGCUGGAAUCCGAGGUGGAAGGAUCCCAGAAUGCUUUGGAAUUUGCAAAUUGUCAGAUAGCUCAGCCAUCUGCGGACAACAAUAGAGUUAAUAACAAGGUUUAUACAAUCAGACGAGUGUGCAAAUCAUUUCCGGUCCUCUGUCUGAGCCUCACAAUUAGUCGGACAGCUACAUUGAUACAGAUUCAAAUGCAGAUUGGGUCUGAACAAUCAUGGCCAUAUAUCCAAUCCGAUUCAUUUAGCUAAAGCUCGGGAUGAGGCGGAAAGGCCAGUUCCUGUCGCCCGAAAUUGGCAAGAAAAGCAGCUCGCCAGUCCAAAAAAGAAAUGCUAAUGAGCGGCGAACAAACGGGUCGGAUCGAAAACUGUUGGCCAGUCCAU